rnacentral:rRNA from 4 species
AAAUUGAAGAGUUUGAUCAUGGCUCAGAUUGAACGCUGGCGGCAGGCCUAACACAUGCAAGUCGAACGGUAACAGGAAACAGCUUGCUGUUUCGCUGACGAGUGGCGGACGGGUGAGUAAUGUCUGGGAAACUGCCUGAUGGAGGGGGAUAACUACUGGAAACGGUAGCUAAUACCGCAUAACGUCGCAAGACCAAAGAGGGGGACCUUCGGGCCUCUUGCCAUCGGAUGUGCCCAGAUGGGAUUAGCUUGUUGGUGGGGUAACGGCUCACCAAGGCGACGAUCCCUAGCUGGUCUGAGAGGAUGACCAGCCACACUGGAACUGAGACACGGUCCAGACUCCUACGGGAGGCAGCAGUGGGGAAUAUUGCACAAUGGGCGCAAGCCUGAUGCAGCCAUGCCGCGUGUAUGAAGAAGGCCUUCGGGUUGUAAAGUACUUUCAGCGGGGAGGAAGGGAGUAAAGUUAAUACCUUUACUCAUUGACGUUACCCGCAGAAGAAGCACCGGCUAACUCCGUGCCAGCAGCCGCGGUAAUACGGAGGGUGCAAGCGUUAAUCGGAAUUACUGGGCGUAAAGCGCACGCAGGCGGUUUGUUAAGUCAGAUGUGAAAUCCCCGGGCUCAACCUGGGAACUGCAUCUGAUACUGGCAAGCUUGAGUCUCGUAGAGGGGGGUAGAAUUCCAGGUGUAGCGGUGAAAUGCGUAGAGAUCUGGAGGAAUACCGGUGGCGAAGGCGGCCCCCUGGACGAAGACUGACGCUCAGGUGCGAAAGCGUGGGGAGCAAACAGGAUUAGAUACCCUGGUAGUCCACGCCGUAAACGAUGUCGACUUGGAGGUUGUGCCCUUGAGGCGUGGCUUCCGGAGCUAACGCGUUAAGUCGACCGCCUGGGGAGUACGGCCGCAAGGUUAAAACUCAAAUGAAUUGACGGGGGCCCGCACAAGCGGUGGAGCAUGUGGUUUAAUUCGAUGCAACGCGAAGAACCUUACCUGGUCUUGACAUCCACGGAAGUUUUCAGAGAUGAGAAUGUGCCUUCGGGAACCGUGAGACAGGUGCUGCAUGGCUGUCGUCAGCUCGUGUUGUGAAAUGUUGGGUUAAGUCCCGCAACGAGCGCAACCCUUAUCCUUUGUUGCCAGCGGUCCGGCCGGGAACUCAAAGGAGACUGCCAGUGAUAAACUGGAGGAAGGUGGGGAUGACGUCAAGUCAUCAUGGCCCUUACGACCAGGGCUACACACGUGCUACAAUGGCGCAUACAAAGAGAAGCGACCUCGCGAGAGCAAGCGGACCUCAUAAAGUGCGUCGUAGUCCGGAUUGGAGUCUGCAACUCGACUCCAUGAAGUCGGAAUCGCUAGUAAUCGUGGAUCAGAAUGCCACGGUGAAUACGUUCCCGGGCCUUGUACACACCGCCCGUCACACCAUGGGAGUGGGUUGCAAAAGAAGUAGGUAGCUUAACCUUCGGGAGGGCGCUUACCACUUUGUGAUUCAUGACUGGGGUGAAGUCGUAACAAGGUAACCGUAGGGGAACCUGCGGUUGGAUCACCUCCUUA